rnacentral:lncRNA from 1 species
CUCCAGUGCCGUUUACUAUCCAUAUCCGUUUUUGUCCUUAAACAGACGAUGAAAUCAAGCAUUCACCAAUCUUAAAAUCAAUCAAUGUACUGACAAAACAUCGGAUGACUACAAGUUCUUUUGGGUGGUGACAAGCACUUGUAUCAGAAAAAAAAUCGCAUCUCUAUACCCAACAGUUAGGUUAAGGUACACCUCACAGACACAUGUUUUCCGGAGACAAGUUCCUGUGUGGAUAAUGAAUAAAUGACCGGGAAUUCAACCUCACUGUAACAACUAUUAUAUUGUUAAUCAGUAUACUCUAGUUUGUUUUUAUACAUGUACAUGUAUAUUAUAUUAAAGUCGUACGAAACCUCUAAUAAAAAAAGAUGCAUAUGUUUUUUUUAUAACAAUAAGUAUAGUUUUCAUGCUAAAACUUAUGUACUUGAUUGAUUGCUUACAAUAAGGCGACAAGCUGUAAACUACGGCUUCAUAAUACGACAAAAUAUAUGUAUAACAGUUAUAUGUAAUUUUUAUUUUUCCUUAUGUCAUUCUUUUCUACUAGUAUUCUCAUGAUAAUUCAGUGGAAGAGCAUAGUGGUUAUUCUUUUGAAAUAAUUAGUUUUUCUAAGAUAUAUUGGAUUUGAGUAAGUAGAUUUGAGUAGGCAUUCAAAUUUUCUCGCAAUUUUUGGAAAACCUUUUUGAGAUAUUCUUCCGCAACGCUAACACAAAUUAUUGGUAUCCUUGAUUUAAUAUUGAUACUAUAUUUGUAACGACAAACAUUUUCACAUCAUUUAUCUACAUGACUGUUCCUUAAAAAU